rnacentral:rRNA from 1 species
GGUUGAAAUCGGGGUUCGCAAGUGAGGAGCUUUCCCAAAACACGGAGAGCCUGGGAAGGGAGAGGCCGAUUAUGACCCCUCGCUCCGCCGAGACAGUUGCGUUGGGUCGCGCACCACAUGCGGGCCGAGCCGACAAAGAUGAAUGCAAGCCUGACUUGCAUCACCGUUAGAUGAUACUACUUCUCGGGUCAUCCUGCUUGGCAGGUUUCGACAAUGAUCCUUCCGCAGGUUCACCUACGGAAACCUUGUUACGACUUUUACUUCCA